CUUUACUGCAACUUCGCAGUGGCGCCAGGAAGGGACUGUGUAGGAUAGGUGGGAGGCUUUGAAGCCGGGGCGCCAGCCUUGGUGGAGCCAACCUUGAAAUACCACCCUGUGCCUUUCUGGCGUCUAACCGCAUCCCGUGAUCCGGGAUCGGGACCCUGCGUGGUGGGCAGUUUGACUGGGGCGGUCGCCUCCCAAACUGUAACGGAGGCGCGCGAUGGUGGGCUCAGGCCGGUCGGACAUCGGCUGUUGAGUGCAAAGGCACAAGCCCGCCUGACUGCGAGCGCGACAGCGCGAGCAGAGACGAAAGUCGGCCUUAGUGAUCCAAUGGUCCCGCGUGGAAGGGCCAUCGCUCAACGGAUAAAAGGUA
rnacentral:rRNA from 1 species